UGAUAUCUUGGGGGAUCACCCCUAAUUUAUUCUUCUUAGAAUUUUUGGGAUGUUUUAUCGGCAAUCGAUUUUGGUCACUUUCGUAUACGACAGUCCUAAUGGUCAGAAACGGAAGCAGUUAUGGGUUCGCGGUUAGCGAUUGGUGAUUUUAACGCUAUUUUAGCUUCGUGUGAAAAAAGAGGUGGUCGAGUUAUCGGGAAAAGAUGUGUUCUUUUUAGCGAGCUCAUGGAUUC
rnacentral:lncRNA from 1 species